rfam:Triticum aestivum genome assembly, contig: Triticum_aestivum_CS42_TGACv1_scaffold_233319_3B
UUUGUACUCCCUCCGUCCCAAAAUUCUUGUCUUAAAUUUGUCUAAAUACGGAUGUAUCUAGUUACAUUUUAGUGUUAGAAACAUCCGUAUCUAAACAAAUGUAAGACAAGAAUUUUGGGACGGAGGGAAUACUAC